rnacentral:rRNA from 1 species
CAAUAACAGGUCUGUGAUGCCCUUAGAUGCUCUGGGCCGCACGCGCGCUACACUGAUGCGAUCAACGAGCCUAGCCUUGGCCAAGAGGUCCGGGUAAUCUUGCAAACCGCAUCGUGAUGGGGAUAGAUUAUCGCAAUUAUUAAUCUUCAACGAGGAAUGCCUAGUAGGCGCGAGUCAUCAGCUCGCGUUGAUUACGUCCCUGCCCUUUGUACACACCGCCCGUCGCUCCUACCGAUUGGGUGUGCUGGUGAAGCGUUCGGAUUGGUGGCUCCAAGCGGUUCGCCGCCGGGGGCAACCGAGAAGUUCGUUAAACCCUCCCACCUAGAGGAAGGAGAAGUCGUAACAAGGUUUCCGUAGGUGAACCUGCGGAAGGAUC